GCACAAGCGGUGGAUGAUGUGGUUUAAUUCGAUGCAACGCGAAAACCUUACCACCUUUGACAUGUACGGAAUCCUUUAGAGAUAGAGGAGUGCUCGAAAGAGAGCCGUAACACAGGUGCUGCAUGGCUGUCGUCAGCUCGUGUCGUGAGAUGUUGGGUUAAGUCCCGCAACGAGCGCAACCCUUGCCAUUAGUUGCUACGAAAGGGCACUCUAAUGGGACUGCCGGUGACAAACCGGAGGAAGGUGGGGAUGACGUCAAGUCCUCAUGGCCCUUAUAGGUGGGGCUACACACGUCAUACAAUGGCCGGUACAGAGGGUAGCCAACCCGCGAGGGGGAGCCAAUCCCACAAAGCCGGUCGUAGUCCGGAUCGCAGUCUGCAACUCGACUGCGUGAAGUCGGAAUCGCUAGUAAUCGUGGAUCAGCAUGUCACGGUGAAUACGUUCCCGGGUCUU
rnacentral:rRNA from 1 species